AUGGAGAAGAUGGUGGGGCUGCUGCAGAACCUGCGGCUGUCGGAGGAAGAGAGGAAGGGGGUAAAGAUCAGGAGAGAUGCGCAAGGAAAAGGGAAGGAGACGGAGAUCCGGGCGAUCGGGAAGGUCAUGUCAGAUAUGCCGGCGCACCCAGAUGCGAUCUGUAACUCUUUGGGGAAGGUCUGGAGCCCCAUCCGCGGAGUGGAGUGCAAGGAGUUGGGCGACAACAUAUUCAUGUUCAUCUUCAACCAGGAGAGGGAGAUGAGGAAGGCCCUGGAUGACGGUCCGUGGAUGUUUGACAACGACUUGGUGGUGAUGGAGGAGUUUGUAUCGAGGAAGCGGAUUAAAGAUUAUGACUUCAAGGAAAUACCAAUUUGA
rnacentral:rRNA from 1 species